GACGAACGCUGGCGGCGUGCCUAAUACAUGCAAGUCGAGCGAGACUCUUCGGAGUCUAGCGGCGGACGGGUGAGUAACACGUGGGCAACCUGCCUGUAAGACUGGGAUAACACCGGGAAACCGGUGCUAGUACCGGAUAAUCCUUUUCCUCUCAUGAGGAAAAGCUGAAAGUCGGUUUCUGCUGACACUUACAGAUGGGCCCGCGGCGCAUUAGCUAAGUGGUGAGGUAACGGCUCACCAAGGCGACGAGGCGUAGCCGACCUGAGGGGGUGAUCGGCCACACUGGGACUGAGACACGGCCCAGACUCCUACGGGAGGCAGCAGUAGGGAAUCUUCCACAAUGGACGAAAGUCUGAUGGAGCAACGCCGCGUGAGCGAUGAAGGCCUUCGGGUCGUAAAGCUCUGUUGUUAGGGAAGAACAAGUACCGGAGUAACUGCCGGUACCUUGACGGUACCUAACCAGAAAGCCACGGCUAACUACGUGCCAGCAGCCGCCGUAA
rnacentral:rRNA from 1 species